rnacentral:rRNA from 1 species
AUUGAACGCUGGCGGCAGGCCUAACACAUGCAAGUCGAACGGUAACAGGAAGAAGCUUGCUUCUUUGCUGACGAGUGGCGGACGGGUGAGUAAUGUCUGGGAAACUGCCUGAUGGAGGGGGAUAACUACUGGAAACGGUAGCUAAUACCGCAUAACGUCGCAAGACCAAAGAGGGGGACCUUCGGGCCUCUUGCCCUCGGAUGUGCCCAGAUGGGAUUAGCUAGUAGGUGGGGUAACGACUCACCUAGGCGACGAUCCCUAGCUGGUCUGAGAGGAUGACCAGCCACACUGGAACGGGGCCACGGUCCAGACUCCUACGGGAGGCAGCAGUGGGGAAUAUUGCACAAUGGGCGCAAGCCUGAUGCAGCCAUGCCGCGUGUAUGAAGAAGGCCUUCGGGUUGUAAAGUACUUUCAGCGGGGAGGAAGGGAGUAAAGUUAAUACCUUUACUCAUUGACGUUACCCGCAGAAGAAGCACCGGCUAACUCCGUG